rnacentral:rRNA from 1 species
CUACGGGAGGCAGCAGUGGGGAAUAUUGCACAAUGGACGAAAGUCUGAUGCAGCAACGCCGCGUGGAGGAUGACACAUUUCGGUGCGUAAACUCCUUUUAUAUGAGAAGAUAAUGACGGUAUCAUAUGAAUAAGCACCGGCUAACUCCGUGCCAGCAGCCGCGGUAAUACGGGGGGUGCAAGCGUUACUCGGAAUCACUGGGCGUAAAGAGCAUGUAGGCGGGUAAAUAAGUUGGAAGUGAAAUCCUAUAGCUUAACUAUAGAACUGCUUCCAAAACUGUUCACCUAGAGUAUGGGAGAGGUAGAUGGAAUUUCUGGUGUAGGUGUAAAAUCCGUAGAGAUCAGAAGGAAUACCGAUUGCGAAGGCGAUCUACUGGAACAGUACUGACGCUCAGAUGCGAAAGCGUUGGGAGCAAACAGGAUUAGAUACCCCGGUAGUC